UAUAAUUGCGAUGGGGGGACGGAGCAGGCUAAGCAAGCAUGGCGUUGGUAGUCCAUGUGAAAGUGAGUAGGGCGUUUGUUUAGGUAAAUCCGGACGAACACUAAACCUGAGACACGAGACGAGUCACUAAGGUGAUGAAGUUGCUGAUGCCAUACUUCCAGGAAAAGCCUCUAAGCUUCAGAUUAUAUGGAAUCGUACCCCAAACCGACACAGGUGGUCAGGUAGAGAAUACUAAGGCGCUUGAGAGAACUCGGGUGAAGGAACUAGGCAA
rnacentral:rRNA from 1 species